CAGUCAGGGAGCAGCACGAACAUCCCACAGUUAUCAACCGUCGCGAUGUCCAGGAUGGAGGCAACGAGGUGGCAAAGGCAACACAGGGGUAUCGGAUUGUGCAAAAAUCCAAAGGUCACUAGCAGGAUCAGGCUUGGACUUGACCCUGGGUCUGCCAGCUCUCGUGAUCUUGCCACCACAUGGCCAGCGCUCAAUCCACUGAGCUACACCAGCCGGAACCAAAGUGCACAGUGUUAAUGGUCUACCCCAGGCUGAGCGAGCUGGCAGGUUUCCAUGAUCAGAAAGGAGAAGGAUCACUCAGAGCCCUGUAAGCCACAGCCUCGAUGUUAGAUGUGAUCCUUGGAGCCCUGGGAACCCAGUGAAGGGUUUUAAACAUACAAAUGUUAUGAUCAUAUUUUAAAAGAUCACAGAGAAGACAGCACUGGAAAGGAGCAAAAGCGGAUGCAAGGAAUUGGAGUGGGAAUGUCCAGCC